CCUAAGGGGGUGCCUGUUUCCACACAUCAUCUGGGGCAGGCUGAGAUUAUACCCAUUGAACCUGAUGCAGGUAAUGCUGUCGCAGGGAAUUAGAGAAAUC
rnacentral:ncRNA from 1 species